rnacentral:rRNA from 1 species
CCUACGGGAGGCAGCAGUGGGGAAUAUUGCACAAUGGGGGAAACCCUGAUGCAGCGACGCCGCGUGAGUGAAGAAGUAAUUCGUUACGUAAAGCUCUAUCAGCAGGGAAGAAACACUGACCUUACGGUCAGCAGACGGUACCUGAGUAAGAAGCCCCGGCUAACUACGUGCCAGCAGCCGCGGUAAUACGGAGGGGGCAAGCGUUUUCCGGAUUUACUGGGUGUAAGGGGAGCGUAGACGGUGCGCCAAGUCUGGAGUGAAAUGCCGCGGCUUAACUGCGGAACUGCUUUGGAAACUGGCGAACUAGAGGGCGGGAGAGGUAGGUGGAAUUCCUAGUGUAGCGGUGAAAUGCGUAGAUAUGAGGAGGAACACCGGUGGCGAAGGCGGCUUACUGGACCGUAACUGACGUUGAGGCUCGAAAGCGUGGGGAGCAAACAGGAUUAGAUACCCUAGUAGUC